AUUAAUGGAAAAGAAGAAUGUGUGAGCUAGUCUUAAGCUAUAGUGAAUCUGGUAUGCUUUGUGUGUCUUUCUGUAUUGUUCUGUCAUAAAGAAAGGUACCUUAGAAUAGAACACAGGCUUAGGACACCUGUAAGCCUGCUUUGCAAGACAGCCCAGCAAACUUGUCAGUUACAAACUUUGCUGCAAGUCCCUGAAAAAUAACUGGAUAAGGUUUCCCUUGUCUUGUCACAAUUGGAGAAACUGGCUAUUUUACCAAGGCUUCGACUGGAAUGGCAUACCUUAAGGAAUCAUGUAAGGAAUCAUGAUUCCUUAAGGAAUCAAAUUUGACUUGUAGAGCCAAUAAAUGCCCCUUGGAGAAACCGGCCUCAUACCUUGCCUACACAGUCUCUGUACAGGGUUUCUGACCUGUGAUAUCAACUUUUGUUGGAACUCAGAGUUAUGAAUGGCCCUCGCCAUGCCGAUGCUUUCUGAUUAAGCACCUCUGUACCCUGAACACAAGAGAGAGAGACCCUAAUAGUUAGGCAGGAAUAUCAUUGCCCCUAUUCAGCCUGAAGAAAUUACAAAAGAUGGAUUUUUGUCCCUCUGCACCCCUUAGGAUCAAGGGUUCUCUUAUAAAAGGGAGAGGGAAAAUGUCAGAGGCAUUUGAACCAGAGCAACUCCAUCUUAAAUAGG